rnacentral:lncRNA from 1 species
CGGGAAUAUUGAUUUGACAGUGUGUAUGCUCUGUAAGAAAAAAAAANGGUGGGUUUGGUGGCACAGUAGAUCUUACAAAGGCUUCUUAGAUACUCAGAUUUGGUGGUUAAAGCUCCAUAUAGAUUCUUCAAGUUCUGGAAACCCACAGACUGGAGCACAGGCUUACUCAUCUGGGGUGUGUAGGAUACCUGUGCCAUCAGAAAUGCUGGAGUUGUUCAGAAGAAGAACUUCUGAUCUUCUUCCCCAAAGGCUGAAUGUUUCUGGCAAGAACUCUAAUAUUUCUGCCUGGAUUUCUGUUAGUUUCCACACAAUGCUUUGUAUUUCUAAAAGUCUUUCUAUAGUUAAUCCUGGAGAAAUGAAGACAAGAUUCUUAACCUUCUUCAGUGAGGCAAACUCUGAGUUACUAUCUACAGACCUAUAAAUUGAGAGAGAGUCACACACCUGGUGGGUCCCCAGGGCCAGAAACAGAAACCAGGAAUUACACUCUGCUAUCCUGUCCUCAUCACCAGGGAGUACAGCCUCAGGUGUAAACCACUCUUGAAUAUCUGUUGCAAAAGUUUUCACUGAUGGACUCCCCACACAGUUAACUGCUUCACUCCUUCUUUCAGUGAGCAGCUACCUAUUUAACAUAUUGGGGUGAAAUAAAUAAGUGUGGAAGAAAACA